GGGCGUGUGGUCUAGUGGUAUGAUUUCUGUUUCGCAUGUUCCACCUGCGAUCCUUACAGAAGGUCCCGCGUUCAAUUCGCGGUACGUCCA